AUUUAAUAAAGAAGUGUGGCGCCUUUGACUCCGUGAUUCCGUUAAAAGGUUUUAAUCCGCGUCAGUGCUUUUAUUAUUAAAAGGAACGAAAGCGAGCUGCUCCUGGAAUCCUUGCAAUCCUUCUCGAAACUCCUGAACAAAUUGCCAGGGUACAAAUUCCAUCCCUUUCAAGUUACCGCAGCAGUGAGGAUCAAGUUGCUAUUCAGUCAAGAGGAUCCACGUCUAAGGAGAUCCUCGAUCCAGUUAUUAGGAGAUCUGGCAACAUCCUUUGGCCAGGAGACCAAUUUGGAGGCAUUCAAGGAGCAGAUCCAAGGGAACCUCAUCACUUUACUCUUGCAUCUAUGCGAUCCAGACGUGUAUGUUGUCAAGGCCUGUAAAAGUACGAUCCAGAAGGUCGGCCCUUAUCUGGAUUGUCCGGAGGUAAAAUGAAUGAUCCAGGAGUGUUUGGGCGACGACACCGACUUGAUGUUCACGGAUUUUAUUAAGGAGUUAAUUAAACGCAUGGGAUUUAUGGAAUCAAUGGUAUCAAGGUUAUUUGGAGGUCAAGUCGAGGACGAAUUGGUUUAAAGGUCGCGUUUAGGGGUCAAUGCCGCCCUUGUCACCGGUUUGUUCUACGCCGAACUACUACCCGAGAAUAAACCGAAAGUUUCACUGAAAACUGUCUGUGAUGAACUGAUCAGACUGAUGCAAAACGAGUCAGAAGAAGUUAGGAUUAAGGCAAGUCAAGUUAUAU